UACGUAGGGGGCAAGCGUUGUCCGGAUUUAUUGGGCGUAAAGAGCGUGUAGGCGGCUAGGUAGGUCGGUUGUGAAAACUGGAGGCUCAACCUUCAGAGGUCGACCGAAACCAUCUGGCUAGAGUCCGGGAGAGGAGAGUGGAAUUCCUGGUGUAGCGGUGAAAUGCGCAGAUAUCGGGAGGAACACCAGUGGCGAAGGCGACUACCUGGCCUGUUCUUGACGCUGAGGCGCGAAAGCUAGGGGAGCAAACGGG
rnacentral:rRNA from 1 species